rnacentral:rRNA from 1 species
GUAUGUGGCCAUGACACCCUGAUUGUGUCUGACUUCCUCUGAUCUCAGAGACUGAGCAGGGCUGGGCCUGCUUAGUAUUUGGGAGGGACAAGGAAAUUCCAUAGGUCACCCUGCC